GAUGAACGCUGGCUACAGGCUUAACACAUGCAAGUCGAGGGGAAACGGCAUUGAGUGCUUGCACUGAAUGGACGUCGACCGGCGCACGGGUGAGUAACGCGUAUCCAACCUUCCCGUUACUGCGGGAUAACCUGCCGAAAGGCAGACUAAUACCGCAUGUUCUUCGAUGACGGCAUCAGAUUCGAAGCAAAGAUCCGUCGGUAACGGAGGGGGAUGCGUCUGAUUAGCUAGUUGGCGGGGCGACGGCCCACCAAGGCGACGAUCAGUAGGGGUUCUGAGAGGAAGGUCCCCCACAUUGGAACUGAGACACGGUCCAAACUCCUACGGGAGGCAGCAGUGAGGAAUAUUGGUCAAUGGACGCAAGUCUGAACCAGCCAAGUAGCGUGCAGGAUGACGGCCCUAUGGGUUGUAAACUGCUUUUAUGUGGGAAUAAAGUGGCGCACGUGUGCGCCAUUGCAUGUACCUCAUGAAUAAGGACCGGCUAAUUCCGUGCCAGCAGCCGCGGUAAUACGGAAGGUCCGGGCGUUAUCCGGAUUUAUUGGGUUUAAAGGGAGUGUAGGCGGUCUGUUAAGCGUGUUGUGAAAUUUAGGUGCUCAACAUUUAACUUGCAGCGCGAACUGUCAGACUUGAGUACACGCAGCGCAGGCGGAAUUCAUGGUGUAGCGGUGAAAUGCUUAGAUAUCAUGAGGAACUCCGAUCGCGAAGGCAGCCUGCGGGAGUGUUACUGACGCUUAAGCUCGAAGGUGCGGGUAUCGAACAGG
rnacentral:rRNA from 1 species